UACAUGUUAAUACCUGUUGCAGCACUGGAAUUGAACAAGAUGAUAGUAACAGAAGAUGUACCAACCCACACUUAAAAAGGAGAACACCGUGUUUUUAGAAAAGGGCGCAGCGGUGCUUAUCCGACAGUUAUCUGUGUUUUCUUUGUAAACAGCUUAUUCGCUGUAGGGUUGGUAUUGGGAUGUGGGAGAUUAGCUUUCCAUCAAGACUAAAGGAAAAGCUCCAAUGAAGGAAGGAGUUUGUGGGGUCCUAGGAGAAGCUUAGGGCGGUUGCUUUUCUUUGUUAGCCUUUGUGCUGUGUGGCCUUGCCUGUUUGUUUUCCAUAUUUCGCAUCUGAACAAGCCUCUUUUGAUUUCUUGCAGGACGGCGACCAACAGUUCCAGCAGACCCAGGCCUGGGGAAAUCAUUAACCAAAAACAAAGCACAACAGGACACUGACUGACACAUAUCCAGAUAUUCAGCUUCUAUUUGGAGCUGAAGAACUAAUUAAGCCUGGCAUGGUAAAAGUAAAUGUUGAGCUCUUAUUAGAAAUAUUGAGAAAUAUUGGCAAACACUCCUGCAAACACAACUUGGGUAUUGUCACCCAAAACGCAUAAAGAAGACUGAUGGGAAUGGCUGAACAUCAAAAGAUAUUAAUCCACAGACGGAAAUGAUUAAGCGUGCACUACGUUUGCAGCAUAAUGAAUUAGUGUUUUUGCCCUGAGAGGUUCAUUUUGUAGUUUGUGACAUCUGUUGUUCAUUUUAAAACAAUCCAAGAGGCUUUACCAAAUUUUCAUAUAGGUAGCAAUGUGGCAGAAAUGUCGUGUAACAUCACAAUUACAUUUAACAAUAUUCUAAUCAGGCUAUAUAUUAUAUAUAUAUACUUAAGUGUUCCAGUUCA
rnacentral:lncRNA from 1 species